rnacentral:rRNA from 1 species
CCUACGGGGGGCAGCAGUGGGGAAUAUUGGACAAUGGGGGGAACCCUGAUCCAGCCAUGCCGCGUGUGUGAAGAAGGCCCUCGGGUUGUAAAGCACUUUCAGUGAGGAAGAACGCCUGGUGGUUAAUACCCAUCAGGAAGGACAUCACUCACAGAAGAAGCACCGGCUCACUCCGUGCCAGCAGCCGCGGUAAUACGGAGGGUGCGAGCGUUAAUCGGAAUUACUGGGCGUAAAGCGCGCGUAGGUGGCUUGAUAAGCCGGUUGUGAAAGCCCCGGGCUCAACCUGGGAACGGCAUCCGGAACUGUCAAGCUAGAGUGCAGGAGAGGAAGGUAGAAUUCCCGGUGUAGCGGUGAAAUGCGUAGAGAUCGGGAGGAAUACCAGUGGCGAAGGCGGCCUUCUGGACUGACACUGACACUGAGGUGCGAAAGCGUGGGUAGCAAACAGGAUUAGAUACCCCUGUAGUC